CAGAAGGGUCAUUGUCCGGCCCCAGUCUACAACUCUCUUCCCUGCAUCUCUUCCAGGACUCUGUGGUCUGAACAUCAGCAUCAGCCCUGCUCAGGGAGAUGCCUUGGACACCCUGCCCACCAUCUGAUUUCCAGAGCCGGCUUUUGCCCCUGCACAGCAGGAAACUCAGCUUUGGCCAAGUCGAAAGUCCAUUUUUUCAAAUCUGAGACAGGGUGCACCGGCCCUUCUUGGGCCAAGAAUCACAGCGUCACCAGCCACAGGGGCAUCAUUCGUGUGGCCUUGGGUAGCUUUGUGGACACAGGAACACAUUCCCAGCCAAGGAGCGAUGAGCACAGGGGAGUGGAUCCAGAGCUGGCGUUGGUGCGGUGGCAGCACGGUGAGGGCAGGAUUGCCAUGGCCUCGGGGGACAAGACAGAGCCAUUCUGAGUUGUGAAAUCUGUGCGAGGAGACAACUUGCAGAGAAGCCAAAGGGAAAUACGGCACAUGUUGUCCUUGCUUCCGCCAUGAGUGGGAGACGAGAUCCGGGCCCGCAAAGGACACCGAGUCCUGCACAGGAAGAAACAUCGAGAAGGCUCUAGCUGGGAAGAGAAGGCAACAGUUUCUUCUACACAUCAGCAGAGCCAGCGCCAACUCUGAAGCCACAACAGGUGCAUGUUGUUGCUUCUCCCAUGGUGAAUAUGCGGGUCCAGAGAUUGCCAGGUCGGGUGCCAUCCAUCCACAGUCAUCAGUUUUACAGGAGCAGUCAAGCGCAAUGGUGACUUCCUGUUGCAAUAUUUCACUUUCUCAGGCCACGGAUUUAGCUCAGUGGUUCCACUGCCGGCCUCACAAGCACAAGGUCCUAAGUUCAAUCCCCGGUACAAACAAAAACAAAAACACACUGUGA
rnacentral:lncRNA from 1 species